UGGUUCUGGCAUCGAUGAAGAACGCAGCGAAAUGCGAUAAGUAAUGUGAAUUGCAGAAUUCAGUGAAUCAUCGAAUCUUUGAACGCACAUUGCGCCCUCUGGUGUUCCGGGGGGCAUGCCUGUCCGAGCGUCAUUGCAACUCUCAAGCAUAGCUUGGUUUUGGACUUCACUCCGCAAGAAGUGUGUCCGAAAAGCAGUGGAUGUCCGGCGUGACAUUGGGUGUAUUAAAUUUUCCACGCUUGAAGCUCACGACGAAUAUUCAUAAUCUUUCUCUCAAGAUUGACCUCGGAUCAGACAGGGAUACCCGCUGA
rnacentral:misc_RNA from 1 species